rnacentral:rRNA from 1 species
UACAGAGGUCCCAAGCGUUGUUCGGAUUCAUUGGGCGUAAAGGGUGCGUAGGUGGCGCCGUAAGUCGGGUGUGAAAUUUCGGAGCUUAACUCGGAACGGUCAACUGAUACUGCUCGGCUAGAGUGCGGAAGGGGCAACUGGAAUUCUUGGUGUAGCGGUGAAAUGCGUAGAUAUCAAGAGGAACACCUGCGGCGAAGGCGGGUUGCUGGGCCGACACUGACGCUGAGGCGCGAAAGCUAGGGGAGCGAACGGG